rnacentral:tRNA from 1 species
AGUCUUAUAUUCAUUAGAUGAUAUUAAAUUGCAAAUUUAAAGGUGAAUUUUUUUCUAAGGCUU